UGGGGAAUAUUGGACAAUGGGCGAAAGCCUGAUCCAGCCAUGCCGCGUGUGUGAAGAAGGUCUUCGGAUUGUAAAGCACUUUAAGUUGGGAGGAAGGGCAGUAAGCGAAUACCUUGCUGUUUUGACGUUACCGACAGAAUAAGCACCGGCUAACUCUGUGCCAGCAGCCGCGGUAAUACAGAGGGUGCAAGCGUUAAUCGGAAUUACUGGGCGUAAAGCGCGCGUAGGUGGUUCGUUAAGUUGAAUGUGAAAGCCCCGGGCUCAACCUGGGAACUGCCUCCAAAACUGGCGAGCUAGAGUAGGGCAGAGGGUGGUGGAAUUUCCUGUGUAGCGGUGAAAUGCGUAGAUAUAGGAAGGAACACCAGUGGCGAAGGCGACCACCUGGGCUCAUACUGACACUGAGGUGCGAAAGCGUGGGGAGCAAACAGG
rnacentral:rRNA from 1 species